UACGUAGGGUGCAAGCGUUAUCCGGAAUUAUUGGGCGUAAAGAGCUCGUAGGCGGUUUGUCGCGUCUGCCGUGAAAGUCCGGGGCUCAACUCCGGAUCUGCGGUGGGUACGGGCAGACUAGAGUGAUGUAGGGGAGGACUGGAAUUCCUGGUGUAGCGGUAGAAAUGCGCAGAUAUCAGGAGGAACACCGAUGGCGAAGGCAGGUCUCUGGGCAUUAACUGACGCU
rnacentral:rRNA from 1 species